rnacentral:rRNA from 1 species
AACGAACGCUGGCGGCAUGCCUAACACAUGCAAGUCGAACGGGAUCCUGGCUUCGGCCAGGUGAGAGUGGCGGACGGGUGAGUAACGCGUGGGAACCUGCCCAUUGGUCUGGGAUAACUGCGGGAAACUGCAGCUAAUACCGGAUGUACCCGAGAGGGGAAAGAUUUAUCGCCGAUGGAGGGCCCGCGUCAGAUUAGGUAGUUGGUGAGGUAACGGCUCACCAAGCCUAUGAUCCGUAACUGGUCUGAGAGGAUGACCAGUCACACUGGGACUGAGACACGGCCCAGACUCCUACGGGAGGCAGCAGUGGGGAGUAUUGGACAAUGGGGGGCAACCCUGAUCCAGCAAUGCCGCGUGGGUGAUGAAGGCC